rnacentral:lncRNA from 1 species
AGGCGAGCUCAUCUACAAAACAAUGGCACCUUCAAGGCUUCUUCUCUGCUACAUUUUCUUGAUUUUGUUCUCUAUUUCUUAUCAUCAGUCGGAGGCAGCAGUUAAACAGAUUCCCGGCGCCCUUUACACCGGUAAAAUUUAGUAUGUUUUAAGGUCCAAAUGCAUAACAACAAUUUUGGUGCGGUGCAUUUGAGCCCCAACAAUUGUGUUUUUGAGUCAAUUUUUUAUUCUAAUUUUUUAGAGAAAAAAUAGAAAAUGAUUAAUUUCUUCUAAUAAAUAUAUAUAAAACGUAAAAACAAAAUUCUUCUAAGACGAUAAAAUUCCCUUUGUUUGGUUUAUGCGAGGAUUUUUAUAAUAAUUAUUUUGUAUUGAUGAAUCUAAUUAGUUUAAAUGUGUGGUGCAGAGUGCGACACUAGUUGUCCGAGUGGAAGAUGUUGCUAUUGCGCCUAUUACCAUGGUAGAGAUGUAUGCAGUAUUUGCUGUGAUCAUAGUGAUGCUACUACUAGCAAUGGCACCACCACUUUGUACCAAAAUUAAUUUAGAUCUCAUAAAAAUGAAAUAAAGAAAAUUCUCCGAAAUAUUUAAAUUAAUUUAAGAGAUCUAUUGUCAACAAUGGUUGUAUACGACUUC